AUGGCACACUCCUGGCUACAUACACAGACCCAGCACUAGUGAGCCCACGUGGUCUACAUGUGACCCCUGCAGGCCAGGUGCUGGUCUGUGGAUUCCUGUCCAACACUGUACUACAGGUGGGCUGGGAGGGAGAGAGUAAGCUGGCUACGCUGGCUACUGAGGAGGAUGGAGUGAGGUGCCCAGUGUCAGUCUGCUACAGCAGCACCACAUCAUCCAUCAUUGUGGGACAGGCUGGGGACAACAUCCUGGUGUUCAGAGUGGAAUAGUGUGUACAUUUGCUGCUGGGUCGGGACAACGAUGCUGAGGAUGUGGGGGACAAGCAUGACGCAGAAGGAGAGCACCAGCAUUGGUAUCGAGUUGGCCAAGCAACAGCACAAGUCCGGCCUGCAGGAGCCCCAAUACAGAACCAUCCUUUCCCUCCCCUGAUCCCUAGCUCCUCCCACUGGACCUCUGGCCACAAAGGGUCAGCAUCGUUACACAAGUCUGUUCUGCAAUAAAUCCUCAGCACGUCAAGUUUUCACGCGCUGUUAUGAACAACCAAAAUGUCCGCGUCGAGAUUUCCCCAAGCAAGCCCGAGUAGUUUUGUUUAGCUCUAGUGCCCGAGUGGGAUGAGUGUUACAGAAGCGAGACGUUAUAGCAGUACAUAUGGUAACGCAAACAGUUAACGCUAACAGUUAGUUCUCGCUGUGGACAUCAUGAAGAAUCUCACAAAGAAUUAAACGUUGAAUAAUUUGUUUCAUUCUUUAUAAGACACAGGGUUUGCACAGGGCUUGAAAAGUGCUUGAAAACCAGUCCUAGGCUUGAAAAGCCCUUGAACAAAGGUUGGCCUUAAAACAGUGCUUGAAAAGUGCUUAGUUCAUGUAAAAAAGCCUUGAAAAAUUAUUUCUGCUCAAAAUUACUGUUAUCAUGGCUUUAAUUAUAAAUUUAAAUCGUUCUUAUGGGAAAUAUUACCAAAAUGUAUAAUAAAUUCCUUCGCGCAAAAAGUUGAGUACGAAAUAUAAGUUUCGUACAAUAUUGAGUACGAAAUGUUAUGUGUACACGUCACAGAUUAUAAUGCUACGUCAGAGGUUCUCCAUUGUGAUCAAUUUUCGCGAGUGAAAACGCAGCAAUGGGGAAGUGUCGUUUCAAACCAGGGUGGUUAACUGAAUAUUCCUGGGUACAGAAAACAAAUGACAUUCGAAAAGCACAUUGUUGGGUCUGUAUGAAGACCAUUGAUGUCGGGGGUAUGGAGGAAAGCGCUUUGAAAAGCCACAAGAAAGUGAAAACCCUCAAAGAAAACAUGAAAUUGAGAAGCAAACAGGGUUCCUGGGAUGUGUUUUUUGUUAAACAGGAAGGUACUAUUGUUAAAACUGUUAAAUCUAAAACAGACUUAAAAAACAACAGCCCAUCUGUGUCGAACCAGGAAGGCACAGCCACAUGCAGAGAGUGUGCAGAUAGAAGAUUCAAAUUCCAGGACCUUCGCAACUUUCAGCUGUAGUAUCAAACUCGCAGACAUCCAUAGACAAAUUCGUUUAAAAAAAUGAUAUGUUGAACGCGAAAGUAUUUUGGGUAUUUAUACCGUUUGCACACAACCAUCCUUUAACUCCAAUAAAAACAUUACAAAGUUUUUUCAGGUUGUGUUCCAUGACAGUACCAUAGCAAAGCAUAAUUAUGUGGUUGUUUUGGGGCUAGCUGAACAUUUCAAAACUGUACUUGAUAGUUCUAUAACUUAAUUAGUGGACAGUACUCAGUGUCUCAGUACUCAGUGUCUCAGUACUCAGUGUCUUUUGAUGAAAGUUUAAACAAGAAAGACCAAUCCAAGCAAAUGGAAAAGGCAUUUUAUUUAAAGGAAACUAACGUACAGUUUACGGACUUGAAAAUGAAUAUUUGGUCUUGGAAAGUCCUUGAAAAGUGCUUGAAUUUAGGUUUGAGAUUUCUGUUUGAACCAUGAGACAUCUAUAUAUUCAGCAAGGAACGAGAGCAAAUCAAGGAACAAUCGAAACGAUUCAUUCAGAAGUGUUUCUGCUGUAAAUAGUUAGGACAGUAGUAGCGUUACGGACUGUCCUCAGCGCACAAUUUAUUUAUGUGGUGCGCCUCAGACGCGAAUUCCGCCCAUUAUUGAAAACAAGUUGCUAAAAGUAAACACAUCCGGUUUUGUUACGAGCACUUUGCACUCCGAGCCAAAAGGGCAUUGCAUUGAAUUGAGACUAAAGAAGGCUUGAAAACAUGACCUCAGUUUUGUUGUAUGGUCCAGUAGCUCUUCGACUCUCAACCUGAAGUUAAUCAGAACUCAAACUCGGCCCUUAACAAUAUCCACGUGGCCAGCAUAUCAGCUCAGCUUCUGAGCUUCAGCAAACACUAUAAGCCGCCAAGAUAAAAACAUCGUUGAAGUGAAAGUCGAUGACAAUCCUGACCCCUUCGCUUAAGUAAUUCAGCACAAAAACGUCUUGUGUCAGAGUAGCAAGCCUCCAAACAUCUUCUCCCAUGUUGGCUUCAUCAACACUUCUUACAGCGGAGCCUUGACGAGUUCGACUUCCAUCCCAGCAUCGAUGUUGCUUAGCAACAAUUCAAUGCUGGGAAUCGACAAAUUGUUCUAGACGAGUCGCUUACACAGAAACAAUCUGAUCCAACAGAUAGAGCAGGUGUUGCGUGACUUGUCCCUUAUUGCGACUGACCUCGAUAAGUUGCUCUCGAAUAAUGUUAACCUUAUGCCAGUAUGGGAUUGACGCCAUUUAACAACAGUUGUUGUUGAGAAUACCCAGGUUUGAGGUGGCAACUUUGGCGUCGGGACUCGCUCCAUCUCUGUCUAUGGCCUGGUCAAAGCAGCAGCAGCAGCAAUAAGAACAACAAGUAGUAUCUGAGCGGUGCUCUGGUGUACGGGGCUUCAUAGCCUGUUCCUCCUGGUCCAGGACCUUUGGACAAAUGUUCAAAUAGUACUACCCACAGGAUGAAGCCACUCUGAAUCCGGGGCUCCAUACUUUCUUGGCCAGGGGCCAAGACUACCUCGUCAAUAAGCAGAGCACCAGCAUUGAUAUCGAGUUGGCCCAGCAACCGCACGAGUCCCGCCUGCAGGAGCCCCAGUCCAGAACGACCCUUCCCCUACCCUGACUUCUAACUCCUCCCCCUUGACCUCCUGACUCAAAAAGUCAGCAUCGUUGAAUAACUCCGUUCUGCAGAAAAUUCUGAGCAUGAUUCUGGUCUGAACAAACACAAUGCCCACGUCAAGUUGUCCACACAUUAGCCUGGGUAGUUCUGUUAAGCUAGAGUUCCGCGUGGGCCUGAGAGGGACGAGUUUUACAAGCACGAAAAGUUAUAGCUGUAGUUAUGGUAACGCUAACAGUCAGUUGUUGCUGUUGGACAUCACAACAAAUAUCCUGAAGAAUAAAAAGUUCAAUAACUUGUUCCAAUCUUUAUGGGACAAACAGAAAUUGGACGGGAGAAAAUCAAGGAACAAUAAAAGCGUAAGCUUUCCUAGUGGGAUGCUUCUGCUGUUGAUAGUUUGGACGACAAUAGGGUUACGGACUGCCCCAGAUUGUCCUCUCAGCGGCCAAAAUAUCAUAAUAGAACGGACUUUUGGCAAUGUUACCGACAAAGAAAGGCAGUAAUGACUUGGUUGUGAAUACCCAGAGCACGAUACAUCCAUGCUGACACAAAAAGGCAGUAAUGACUUGGUGGUGAAAACCCAGAGCACGCUACAUCCUUGCUGACAAAGAAAUGCAGUAAUGACUUGGUUGUGAAUACCCAGAGCAUGCUACAUCCAUGCUGACACAGAAAGGCAGUAAUGACUAUGCUGUGAACACCCAGAGCAAGAUAUAUCCAUGCUGACACAGAAAGGAAGUAAUGACUAUGCUGUGAACACCCAGAGCAAGAUAUAUCCAUGCUGACACAAAAAGGCAGUAAUGACUAUGCUGUGAACACCCAGAGCAAGCUACAUCCAUGCUGACACAGAAAGGAAGUAAUGACUAUGAUGUAAACACCCAGAGCACAAUACAUCCAUGCUGACACAGAAAGGCAGUAAUGACUAUGCUGUGAACACCCAGAGCACGCUACAUCCAUGCUGACACAGAAAGGAAGUAAUGACUAUGCUGUGAACACCCAGAGCAAGAUAUAUCCAUGCUGACACAGAAAGGCAGUAAUGAUUAUGCUGUGAACUCCCAGAGCAAGAUAAAUCCAUGCUGACACAGAAAGGCAGUAAUGACUACGCUGUGAACACCCAGAGCACAAUACAUCCAUGCUGACACAGAAAGGCAGUAAUGACUUGGUUUUAAACACCCAGAGCACAAUACAUCAAUGUUGACUCAGAAAGGCAGUAAUGACUUGGUUGUGAACACAGAACACGAUACACCCAUGCUGACACAGAAAGGCAGUAAUUACUUGGCUGUGAACACAGAGCACAAUACAUCCAUGCGGAAACAGAAAGGCAGUCAUGACUAUGCUGUGAACACCCAGAGCACGAUAAAUCCAUGCUGACACAGAAAGACAGUAAAGACUUGGUUGUAAACACCCAGAGCACAAUACAUCCAUGAUGACACAGAAAGGCAGUAAAGACCUUGUUGUAAACACUAAGAGAUCCAUACAUCCAUGGGGUGUGCCACAGCCCGAAUUACGCCCACUAUUGUGAACAAGGUGCUUAAAGUGAACAUGUCUGGUUUUGGUAUGAGGACUUAGCACUCCAAGCCUAAAAGGCCUCGCAUUGAAUUGAUGCAAGAGAAGGCUUUGAAAAAUAACAGCAGUUUUGUUGUGUGGUCCAGUACGCCCUUCGACUCUCAACCUGAAGAAAGCAGAACUCAAACUCGGCUCUUAUCAAUAUCAGCAAGGCCAGCAUGUCAUAUCAGCUUCUUGAGCUUCAGAAAUUCAGCACGAAGACAUCUUGCGUCAGACUACCAAGCCUCCUAUCAAUAUCUCCUCCCAUGUUGGCUUCAUCAACACUUCCAACAGAGCCUUGGUGAGUUCGACUUCCGUCUCAGCAUCGAUGUCGCUUAGCAACAAUUGGAUGAUGGGCGUCGACAAAUUAGGCCGGACAAGUCGCUCAAACUGAAACGAUCUGAUCCAACAGGUAGAGCAGGCGUUGCGUGACACGUCCGUUAAUGUGACUGACCUCGAUAUGUUGUUCUCGAAUAAUGUGAACCUUAGGCCUGGAGAGCAGUAUGCGAUUGACGCCAUUCAACAACAGUUGUUCUUGGCAAUUUUCAGGUUUGGGGUGGCGACUUCAGCGUCAGGACUUGCUCCAUCUCUGUCUAUGGCCCAGUCGCAGCAGCAGCAGCAACAAGAACAAUAAGUAGUAUCUUAGCGGUGUUCUGGGAUAUGCGGCUUCAUGUAUGUGCUUAAAUUGUCAUCCCAGAUUAGCCUGUGCAGACUGCACCUACAUUAAGUCCUAUUAAAUUGUCAUCCCAGAUUAGCCUGUGCAGACUGCACAUAUAUUAAGUUCUAUUAAAUUAUCAUCCCAGAUUAGCCUGUGCAGACUGCACCUACAUUAAGUCCUAUUAAAUUGUCAUCCCAGAUUAGCCUGUGCAGACUGCACAUACAUUAAGUUCUAUUAAAUUGUCAUCCCAGAUUAGCCUGUGCAGACUGCACAUACAUUUAGUCCUAUUAAAUUGUUAUCCCAGAUUAGCCUGUGUAGACUGCACAUACAUUAAGUCCUAUUAAAGUGUCAUCCCAGAUUAGCCUGUGCAGACUGCACGUACAUAAAGUCCUAUUAAAGUGUCAUCUCAGAUUAGCCUGUGCAGACUGCACAUACAUUAAGCCCUAUUUUCCCAGAAUGAGGCUCGUAUACUUCACUUAACAUCAGUAUUUUAUGUGCCUGAAAAGUUCCUAGCAUCAAGUGGGAAUUAUGUGCUUUUAGAUUGAUCACACGUAAAAUGCAAAUAGCACUUGAUCUGAUAUCAAUUUUAAUCAUAGAAGGUCAGGAGUGGCAUUCCAGAAGCAUAUUAAGUUAAAUUUUAUUUUUACCCUUAAAUUGGGAAUUUUUCUUCAGUGUUUUAUUUCAUACUGCAAUAGUUAGGCAUCGAAAAUUACAUCAAAAUAACAUCAUUAUGUCAAUGUUAUUUGAGAGUUACCAAAAAAAUUUGCAUGUCUUUAUUGAGUAAAGAAAUGCAAAACAUUGUAUUUUUUAACUUAAGUGAAAAUAUUUAAGAAAUGACUUAAGAUGUUUCUGGAAUACCACCCAUGGGCAUUAAGUUUUGUAUAUUUUCGACCGAAAUCCAGCCCCUGAACCAAAAGUUUAUCCUUGCAGAAAAAUCUGCUUUAAUAAAAUUGUAAAAAUUAUAUUUAAUUUUAGAAAAAUAAUUAUGUAAAAGCCUUCAGCUCAUUUCAAUUUUUUUUUCUUCAUUUAUUUUCAAUAAUUAUUUAAAUUUCUGGAUUUUGUUUUAAAAGCCUGUUCCUACAGGAACCCAUGCAAUCAUAGAUCGGUACCUAGCUGAACAACAGGCUGUCUGGUCAGCUGGGCCCAGGGCCCAGUGACACUUCCUGGCCCAGGACCUUGGGGCCAAUGCUCAACUAGUCCUACCCGCAAGGUGGAGCCACACUGAACCUGGGGCUCCAUACUUUCUUGGCCAGUGGCCAAGAUAGCCUCGUCAAUUAGGGACACAUUCCUGGGAUGCCCUAAGGUCUUUCUAUCUGUUCACAGAAGUCUUAUACUCACAAGUUCAAGCCCAGAAGCGAUGUCCACAUUAUCAAACUCUGCAUCUCAAUAGAAACCCGGAUAGCAAGGCGUUGAGUUUGUUCUUGAAGCAUUUGCACCUUAAGCAGUCAUCAUCUUGAUAUUCUGGAAUCUCCAUGGUGAAGGACCCUCAGUCUGUGAACAAAAUGCAGAGCGAACCUCAGAUGCCUUUUGACGAAAUCAAAUCAUCCAGUCAGAAACACAGACUGUUGCAGCAGUUGUGACCAUAUUGACCCCAGUCAAACCUAAGAAGCUCAGAGAUAAAUACUGAUUUAGUUCUGCUAGUCUCUACAUACCGCCUGGUUUGGUCAGCACUUACUCUGACUCUUUGAAUAUUAUGACGGAUGGAAAUGAAUGACCUUGUUCAAAUCGAAAUGGCAGAAUGACACAUCACAAGAAUUCAAGCGGAAAGCCAGAAAGUCAUGUCAAUAGCCACAUUUUUUAUGGCACCAGCCAAGUUGUAUUCAAAGACAAACAAUAGUUUAUGCUCUAUUGUGUAUGUGACCAGCCAAGUUGUAUUCAAAGAAAAACAAUAGUUGACGUUUUAUUUUCUAUGUGACCAACCAAUUUGUUUGUAUAGGUCCCUGGUUUAACAAAGCAUUUAAAGUAAUUUUAAAAGCACACAUAUUGCAUGUCUAUGCAAUGUCUUUGCCUGUAUUAUGAAACUUUCACUACAGAUAUUGAUCCUGAUGAUGGUAAAUAAAUGGGAAAUACAAUGUUAUCAAAGAUUUUUUAAGAUUGCCAAAGCUGUUUAAAUGAUGCUGGUAACUGGAAAAAAAAUAUUGGAAUAUUUUCAUGUUAUAAGACGAGUUUCAGUUGUCUGUUUUUAACCCGUUAAUAUAGAUAAGCUAAUUUAAAAUAUUUGUUCAGAAAGGUGUAAAAUGUUUACGCUUCAGAUUUUUGUCUAUCAACUUUCUGAAAACAAUACUAGUCAAUUGGCUCAUUUGGGUCGGUAUUCGAUCAUGAAUCUUUUUUAGUAACAUACUAUGUAUUUCAUGGGAAUAUAAAUAAAUUAUGUGCAAAAUUAUUUAAUCUACCUAAAAUAAUCGAUUCUGUAUUUACUACUAGUACUUUGUUGAUUUCAGUGGAUAUUGUUUGUUAAAUGAUUAGAGUAUGACUCUUGUUGAAAAGCUUUAAAUGAAACUGAAUUAAAAAAUAAAUAUUUAAUUUGUUUUAGAGUUUUAUGAAAAAUGGCUAAAGAUUGUUAAGUUGUGUUCUUUUAUCAUAUACUAACAUGGUCAUACGUGUUAAAAUUUGUUUUCAGACAUAAUAGUUUAUUAUGCUUUAUAUUUGUAUAUGUACAUAACGACGACCAGAUUGUAUCCUCUUUAAUCAGUGAGUAAUUUAAUCAAGAUUUCUUGAUCACUGUAUCAAGUGUAUAUGUAUAUUUUGCAAUAUAUACAUAUAGCAACUGUAAAACAAUUGUAUUUUAAAUGUAAUGUAUUCAUGUAUUGUUGCCAUUUUUAUAAGAUAAACUCACUGUAAACAUUAAUUUGUACAAACCAUUGUUAUAAAAAACAUUUCUUGUGCCAAUGCUAAAAUAUGUAUUAAACUGUUAAAAUAAUGUACAGUAACAACUUCUGAAGAGAAAAAUAUUCUUAAGGCAAUAGAAACACAUUGUUAUAUGAAGUGCUUUUUAUUAAGAUCACCUACUUAAAAUUUGUUUAAUUUUGUUUUAGAUUAUCUAAAGAAAAAAUAGUACCAUGUAAUUUGAAAUCAGUCAAUGAGAAAUUAAGGGAGUGUUGCCAUAUGCUAACAAUAGUCAAGAAAUGAAAUUUUCUCUAUUAGUAAUACAACAGAGCAAUACAAUUUGCUUAAACAAGAGCACCGCAUAAAGGGUGCCACGCUCGGCUACGGGUGCAGUUUUGAAUAAAUGAAAGCUUGUCUGAAUUUAUUUUAGAGGUCACUGUGACUAGACCAUUGACCUAGUGACCCCAAAUCGGGUGUGGUGUGUAGAACUCAUCAAGGUGCAUCUACAUAUGAAGUUUGAAAGUAGUAGUUGGAAGCACUUUGAUUUUAGAGCCAAUGUUAAGAUUUUAGCACGACGCGGACGGCGGACGACACGACGAUCUGUAUGACAAUACCUCGAAUUUUCUCCGAAAAUACCGAGCUAAAAAUAAAAACUAAGAUGUUUGCUUUGCAAUUUUUUUUAAAUAUACACUUAUGAAUGUGCUUAUAUUAAACGUCAACAGUAUUGGCAUAUUGCUUACGAUAAAGUUUGACAUUUUAUUAGUUUUGUAACAGUGUGUUUCACCUUUCACAUUGACAAUCCCACAUUUGCUUUCAGUGGGGCCAGUUUCUGUAACUCUUCCACUACAAGUUCAGCAAAUGUGUUAUGACCAGAUUUUCUCAUAUUUGGGAAUGUUUAUAUUUAACUUUUAUUGAAUGCAUGGAACAUGUUUGUUCUGUUUUUUAAUAGCUGAAAAUAGCUUGAUGUUUGUAAAUUGUGUGCCAUGUUGAUCAAUUGAUACAUAAAAAAAAAACACAUUUUGCGUUAAUUUGUAUGUGUAGCUAAACAACACAUGUUACCAAAUACAAAUUUAAUUAUUUGGUAACAAUAUAAUUAUUGUGCUAUAUUCGUAAUACCGUAUGAAAUGCAAUAUUAAUUAAAAUGUGUUUAUAUGUUUGUCUACGUCAAAUAAUCAUUUGAAUAAGUAAAUAUAGGGUAAUGAUGUCUAUGGAAAGUACCCGUAGGCACGUUUCAAUUGCUUGUGUACCUCAUAUGGAUCAGGGUCUGUCUAAAUUAUUGCAUGAUUGUUUAUGCCAAUGUCUGAAUUGUGUAAAUAUCUUUAAAAUCGUGAGAUAUUUGUUAAGAGGAUUUUAAUAUUAAAAGAUAUAAUAGCAUCUAAACUUUAACCGGUCAUCUUUUGCAUUUAUUUUUAUGUGUUUAUAUUGUUUUGCUUACCAAGUUUAAUAUUGUCUAUAUUCGUGCGUAAUUUUAUUGUGGUUGUUUUGUUAAGACAGAGCGCAUAUCCCUAAUGCUGUUGUUUUAUGUUAUAUGUAAAUAAUUAAACAUGUUUAUUUUGG